GGACCAUCCUCCAAGGCUAAAUACUCCUGACUGACCGAUAGUGAACCAGUACCGUGAGGGAAAGGCGAAAAGAACCCCGGCGAGGGGAGUGAAAAAGAACCUGAAACCGUGUACGUACAAGCAGUGGGAGCACGCUUAGGCGUGUGACUGCGUACCUUUUGUAUAAUGGGUCAGCGACUUAUAUUCUGUAGCAAGGUUAACCGAAUAGGGGAGCCGAAGGGAAACCGAGUCUUAACUGGGCGUUAAGUUGCAGGGUAUAGACCCGAAACCCGGUGAUCUAGCCAUGGGCAGGUUGAAGGUUGGGUAACACUAACUGGAGGACCGAACCGACUAAUGUUGAAAAAUUAGCGGAUGACUUGUGGCUGGGGGUGAAAGGCCAAUCAAACCGGGAGAUAGCUGGUUCUCCCCGAAAGCUAUUUAGGUAGCGCCUCGUGAAUUCAUCUCCGGGGGUAGAGCACUGUUUCGGCAAGGGGGUCAUCCCGACUUACCAACCCGAUGCAAACUGCGAAUACCGGAGAAUGUUAUCACGGGAGACACACGGCGGGUGCUAACGUCCGUCGUGAAGAGGGAAACAACCCAGACCGCCAGCUAAGGUCCCAAAGUCAUGGUUAAGUGGGAAACGAUGUGGGAAGGCCCAGACAGCCAGGAUGUUGGCUUAGAAGCAGCCAUCAUUUAAAGAAAGCGUAAUAGCUCACUGGUCGAGUCGGCCUGCGCGGAAGAUGUAACGGGGCUAAACCAUGCACCGAAGCUGCGGCAGCGACGCUUAUGCGUUGUUGGGUAGGGGAGCGUUCUGUAAGCCUGUGAAGGUGUGCUGUGAGGCAUGCUGGAGGUAUCAGAAGUGCGAAUGCUGACAUAAGUAACGAUAAAGCGGGUGAAAAGCCCGCUCGCCGGAAGACCAAGGGUUCCUGUCCAACGUUAAUCGGGGCAGGGUGAGUCGACCCCUAAGGCGAGGCCGAAAGGCGUAGUCGAUGGGAAACAGGUUAAUAUUCCUGUACUUGGUGUUACUGCGAAGGGGGGACGGAGAAGGCUAUGUUGGCCGGGCGACGGUUGUCCCGGUUUAAGCGUGUAGGCUGGUUUUCCAGGCAAAUCCGGAAAAUCAAGGCUGAGGCGUGAUGACGAGGCACUACGGUGCUGAAGCAACAAAUGCCCUGCUUCCAGGAAAAGCCUCUAAGCAUCAGGUAACAUCAAAUCGUACCCCAAACCGACACAGGUGGUCAGGUAGAGAAUACCAAGGCGCUUGAGAGAACUCGGGUGAAGGAACUAGGCAAAAUGGUGCCGUAACUUCGGGAGAAGGCACGCUGAUAUGUAGGUGAAGUCCCUCGCGGAUGGAGCUGAAAUCAGUCGAAGAUACCAGCUGGCUGCAACUGUUUAUUAAAAACACAGCACUGUGCAAACACGAAAGUGGACGUAUACGGUGUGACGCCUGCCCGGUGCCGGAAGGUUAAUUGAUGGGGUCAGCGCAAGCGAAGCUCUUGAUCGAAGCCCCGGUAAACGGCGGCCGUAACUAUAACGGUCCUAAGGUAGCGAAAUUCCUUGUCGGGUAAGUUCCGACCUGCACGAAUGGCGUAAUGAUGGCCAGGCUGUCUCCACCCGAGACUCAGUGAAAUUGAACUCGCUGUGAAGAUGCAGUGUACCCGCGGCAAGACGGAAAGACCCCGUGAACCUUUACUAUAGCUUGACACUGAACAUUGAGCCUUGAUGUGUAGGAUAGGUGGGAGGCUUAGAAGUGUGGACGCCAGUCUGCAUGGAGCCGACCUUGAAAUACCACCCUUUAAUGUUUGAUGUUCUAACG
rnacentral:rRNA from 1 species